ACAGACUGGAGCCUGGGAGCCUCUGUAUACCCAGAGCAGGCACAGCCUAGGCAGCAGCAGGACAAGCUUCAUUGCCACCCUGCAAAUGUGCCUCAGCCCUGCCCUGGAGGGGAAGAUGGGGAUUCAAUGUCUAUGCUCCAGCUGGUCCUUGGUCUCU
rnacentral:sRNA from 1 species